rnacentral:rRNA from 1 species
AUUGAACGCUGGCGGCAGGCCUAACACAUGCAAGUCGAGCGAGCGGCGGACGGGUGAGUAAUGUCUGGGAAACUGCCUGAUGGAGGGGGAUAACUACUGGAAACGGUAGCUAAUACCGCAUACCAUCGGAUGUGCCCAGAUGGGAUUAGCUAGUAGGUGGGGUAAAGGCUCACCUAGGCUACGAUCCCUAGCUGGCCUGAGAGGAUGACCAGCCACAGUGGAACUGAGACACGGUCCAGAAUCCUACGGGAGGCAGCAGUGGGGAAGAUUGCACAAUGGGCGCAAGCCUGAUGCAGCCAUGCCGCGUGUAUGAAGAAGGCCUUCGGGUUGUAAAGUUCUUUCGGUAGCGAGGCGUUAACUACAGAAGAAGCACCGGCUAACUCCGUGCCAGCAGCCGCGGUAAUAC